rnacentral:rRNA from 1 species
GACGAACGCUGGCGGCGUGCCUAAUACAUGCAAGUAGAACGCUGAAGAGAGGAGCUUGCUCUUCUUGGAUGAGUUGCGAACGGGUGAGUAACGCGUAGGUAACCUGCCUUGUAGCGGGGGAUAACUAUUGGAAACGAUAGCUAAUACCGCAUAACAAUGGAUGACACAUGUCAUUUAUUUGAAAGGGGCAAUUGCUCCACUACAAGAUGGACCUGCGUUGUAUUAGCUAGUAGGUGAGGUAAUGGCUCGCCUAGGCGACGAUACAUAGCCGACCUGAGAGGGUGAUCGGCCACACUGGGACUGAGACACGGCCCAGACUCCUACGGGAGGCAGCAGUAGGGAAUCUUCGGCAAUGGGGGCAACCCUGACCGAGCAACGCCGCGUGAGUGAAGAAGAUUUUCGGAUCGUAAAGCUCGGUUGUAAGUCAAGAACGGGUGUGAGAGUGGAAAGUUCACACUGUGACGGUAGCUUACCAGAAAGGGACGGCUAACUACGUG